rnacentral:rRNA from 1 species
CCUACGGGAGGCAGCAGUGAGGAAUAUUGGUCAAUGGUCGGGAGACUGAACCAGCCAAGCCGCGUGAGGGAGGAAGGUACAGAGUAUCGUAAACCUCUUUUGUCAGGGAACAAAGACUGGGACGCGUCCCCGGAUGAGUGUACCUGAAGAAAAAGCAUCGGCUAACUCCGUGCCAACAGCCGCGGUAAUACGGAGGAUGCGAGCGUUAUCCGGAUUUAUUGGGUUUAAGGGGUGCGCAGGCGGUCUGUUAAGUCAGCGGUAAAAGCCCGGGGCCAAACCCCGGCGCGCCGUUGAAACUGGCAGUCUUGAGAUGGCGAGAAGUAUGCGGAAUGCGCGGUGUAGCGGUGAAAUGCAUAGAUAUCGCGCAGAACUCCGAUUGCGAAGGCAGCAUGCCGGCUCCACACUGACGCUGAGGCACGAAAGCGUGGGUAUCGAACAGGAUUAGAUACCCCAGUAGUC